UAGGACCUGUAUUAUUUAUUUUCAAACAAAAUGUUAUUAAAGUUUAAAAUAUUGUCACUGACUCAAACAACAUUUUCUCCCUUGGCACUUUGGACAGGAUGUUCAGACUGCCUUGAAGAAAUUGAAGUUUGCAGCUUGGGCUGCUGCUCUCAUUCAUUUUAAUACAGACACGACUAACAUCUCAUCCAAAAUGUGAAACAUAGCUUUUAAUUUAGUACCAUGGGUUCCUGCAGGACUGAGUCGACACACUGGGAAAUAUGUCAAUUAAGCUUGUUUCCCAGGAAGAAACAGGGAGGUCUUGCAAACAACCCAGGAUAGAAGGAGCCCAGGUUUUGAAGGGGGUGUUCCCUACAUGCCAGAGCUAAGCACAGGGUUGGAGGCUAGGGAAUGGAAAAGCUUCCCAAUUCAGGCAUUUCUGGAAGCAGUUGUGGCUAUUUCAGGGGGAGCUACAAACACAAGGCAAAGAGUCUUUUGAUCCCACACUUCUGUGUGAGCUUCGGAGAGACAAUCUUCCGGAUCUGGUGGUGACUUUUAAAAAAAGCGUCUCUGGAAUCCAUCCCCAGGCAGGCAGAAUUCGGUCUGAAGAUGCUCCCCAAGAGCACCUCAAAGAGCACCAGCAGGCCUUCCUCGGCAGGGACCUCCUUUAUCCAUGAGCGUUCUCUUCCCAGCCUCAUGUCCCACGGGUCCCUCCACUCUCUCCCUGAAGUCAGAUGGCGCUGGGGUUUCCCUGCGGGAACCACCCGCACAUUCGUGAGUGGAGAGAGUGCCAGCCGGGAGUCAGGCUCACUUGACUGAAGCUCCGCUUCCCUCGCUCCCCACCCACCCCUUCCGCGGCUCAGCCUGGAUCCCGCUGCUCGAUUCUCCAAGUGCCGCGUUCAUGCUGGAAGCCAGCGUUCCCCACAGUGUCUUCUGUGAAGACAAAUCCUGGGAGACGUUGGCGUUCCGGGAGAAGAAAUCGAUUCCUCAAAAAUAAGCAAAUUUUUAAUUUAAGGUGAUGUUUCAAGGAGACGUCGAUAUAUUAACGUGCUUUGCGAGUGUUUAAGAGGAAGGGGUGAAGGGCAGGGUUCUCCAAAGUUGUUGGCUACCUGGAGACCGUCUCGAGGAGUUGGACUAGAACUUGGUACUCACGAUGAUAAGCAGUGACAGGCCAGGCGCGGUGGCUCACGCCUGUAAUCCCAGCAUUUUGGGAGGCCGAGGCAGGUAGAUCACUUGAUGUCAGGAGUUGGAGACCAGCCUGGCCAACGUGGUGAAACUCUGUCUCUAUUAAAAAUACAAAAAUUAGCCGGGAGUGGUGGCGCACACCUGCAACCCCAGCUGCUCCGGAGGCUGAGGCAUGAGAGUAGUUUGAACCCGGGAGGCAGAGAUCGCAGUGAGUCCAAAUCGCGCCACUGCACUCUGGCCUGGGCGACAGUGAGACUCCAUCUCAAAUAAAUAAAUAAAUAAAAUAAGUAAAUAAAUAAAUAAAUAAAUAAACAAACAAACAAUGACAACAUUCCAUGCUCCAGGAACUGGUCUCGGUGCGGUACUGAAGAUUGAUUCAACGGUGAGAACGUCAAGCACGUACUAGUCUCCACGGGCUUACACUGUGGAGGAAAAAAUAUAAACAAACAAACAAAAAUAGCUAUAUUAUACAGCAGGAAGUGAGAAGUGACUAGAAGAAAAGUCAACCCAGAUAAGAAAAGGAAACAAUUAUAAUAGAACUUGAAUAUUUUAUAUCUUUUCUUUUUACACAUUUUGACAUUUAUUAUGAAAAUGUUGCAAGUUGAGAUA
rnacentral:lncRNA from 1 species